rnacentral:rRNA from 1 species
UACGUAGGGCGCAAGCGUUGUCCGGAAUUAUUGGGCGUAAAGAGCUCGUAGGCGGUCUGUCGCGUCGGAUGUGAAAAUCCAGGGCUUAACCCUGGACCUGCAUUCGAUACGGGCAGACUAGAGUUCGGUAGGGGAGACUGGAAUUCCUGGUGUAGCGGUGAAAUGCGCAGAUAUCAGGAGGAACACCGGUGGCGAAGGCGGGUCUCUGGGCCGAUACUGACGCUGAGGAGCGAAAGCGUGGGGAGCGAACAGG